AUGUGUGGCUGGUGCCGUAUCCAUAGCGACCAUCAACCCCAACCCGGCUGAUCCCUCCUUGGACGAGCGUAUUAGCAUGCAUGAACAAAGUCCGGGGCUCGUCCCUGAUUGGCCGUGCCGGCUCCUGGCGUGGGCUCGUGGCUGCAGAAGCCCCAGCUGGCCGCGUGCUGCCCUGCCAUCAAGCUCGCGCCUGCUGUAUUCCACAUGACUGGCCUUGUCCUCGAGCGCCCAGCUUACACGCUCCUGUGUAGUGAAUGUCGGUGCCAGCGAGUCUCACUGAAGCACAUGAACCCAUGGCUGCCUUCCUAUGACUGCUACCAACACGCCGCAGCAGCUGAACCUCAAGAAAUGAUUAACCUGACAUAAUCUCUGCUUGUUCUCUUCAUUGUUUCUUUUAUUAUUUUCCCUUUUCGCAGCUAAAAGCUACGUUUGGCAACCCGUCACCUGUCACAUUUGCCCUCUCGUUUGAUUCUUCGCCGCCUCUGUCCCAGCCCUCUGGCCCAGAUAAAAAGAAACCUCUUCUAAGGUGUUUGAAAUUCCUCUUCCUCUCAUCUGCAAACAGGCUGCUGUGUUCAGAGAUGGAGCCCAUGAAAACAGAAGAGAUGACCUAUAUUAUCUGGGAUGGGAGAUCAAAGAAGGCUUGCUCACUGAUCCCAUGAAGCUUGCAUCUUACAAGCCCCCCCUCCUGAAUUAGUCCCGAUUGCGCAACAGCUCCUCUGCAAAAUGUGGCCAUGAGGCUGAAACAGGGCGAAAACAGUUUCCGCUGCAGCUGCUCGUCUUACAAGAUUCACGAUCCAGCAGUUCAGGAGAGCUGAGGCUUUUGAUGUUGUCAUAAAGCUUUUCUUAAGGUUUUGCCCCAACCUGGUCUCUGUAGCGAAGUGAACAAGCUUUAGAUGUGAACUUUCACCUUCUGUAGGACCAUAGAUUUAGUUAAAGCAAACGCCAUUG